UACGUAGGUGGCGAGCGUUGUCCGGAAUUACUGGGUGUAAAGGGCGUGUAGGCGGGAAUACAAGUCAGAUGUGAAAUACCGAGGCUUAACCUCGGGGCUGCAUCUGAAACUGUGUUUCUUGAGUGUCGGAGAGGAAAGUGGAAUUCCCAGUGUAGCGGUGAAAUGCGUAGAUAUUGGGAGGAACACCAGUGGCGAAGGCGACUUUCUGGACGAUAACUGACGCUGAGGCGCGAAAGCGUGGGGAGCAAACAGG
rnacentral:rRNA from 1 species